rnacentral:rRNA from 1 species
GACGAACGCUGGCGGCGUGCUUAACACAUGCAAGUCGAACGGAAAGGCCCUGCUCUUGUGGGGUGCUCGAGUGGCGAACGGGUGAGUAACACGUGAGUAACCUGUCCCUGACUUUGGGAUAACUUCAGGAAACUGGGGCUAAUACCGGAUAGGAGCUCCUGCUGCAUGGUGGGCGUUGGUAAGUUUCGGCGGUUGGGGAUGGACUCGCGGCUUACCGGCUUGGUGGUGGGGUAGUGGCUUACCAAGGUUUUGACGGGUAGCCGGCCUGAGAGGGUGACCGGCCACAUUGGGACUGAGAUACGGCCCAGACUCCAACGGGAGGCAGCGGGGGAGAAUAUUGCACAAUGGGCGGAAGCCUGAUGCAGCAACGCCGCGUGCGGGAUGACGGCCUUCGGGUUGUAAACCGCUUUCGCCUGUGACGAAGCGUGAGUGACGGUAAUGGGUAAAGAAGCACCGGCUAACUACGUG